rnacentral:rRNA from 1 species
UGGGGAAUAUUGCACAAUGGGCGGAAGCCUGAUGCAGCGACGCCUCGUGGGGGAUGAAGGCCUUCGGGUUGUAAACUCCUUUCGACAGGGACGAAGCUUUUGUGACGGUACCUGUAUAAGAAGCACCGGCUAACUACGUGCCAGCAGCCGCGGUAAUACGUAGGGUGCGAGCGUUGUCCGGAAUUACUGGGCGUAAAGAGCUCGUAGGUGGUUUGUCGCGUCGUCUGUGAAAUUCCGGGGCUUAACUCCGGGCGUGCAGGCGAUACGGGCUGACUUGAGUGCUGUAGGGGAGACUGGAAUUCCUGGUGUAGCGGUGAAAUGCGCAGAUAUCAGGAGGAACACCGAUGGCGAAGGCAGGUCUCUGGGCAGUAACUGACGCUGAGGAGCGAAAGCAUGGGUAGCGAACAGG